rnacentral:rRNA from 1 species
UGGGGAAUAUUGGACAAUGGGCGAAAGCCNGAUCCAGCAAUGCCGCGUGUGUGAAGAAGGUCUUCGGAUUGUAAAGCACUUUCGACGGGGACGAUGAUGACGGUACCCGUAGAAGAAGCCCCGGCUAACUUCGUGCCAG